UACGAAGGGGGCUAGCGUUGCUCGGAAUCACUGGGCGUAAAGGGUGCGUAGGCGGGUCUUUAAGUCAGGGGUGAAAUCCUGGAGCUCAACUCCAGACUGCCUUUGAUACUGAAGAUCUUGAGUUCGGGAGAGGUGAGUGGAACUGCGAGUGUAGAGGUGAAAUUCGUAGAUAUUCGCAAGAACACCAGUGGCGAAGGCGGCUCACUGGCCCGAUACUGACGCUGAGCACGAAAGCGUGGGAGCAAACAGG
rnacentral:rRNA from 1 species